rnacentral:rRNA from 1 species
CACGUAGGGGGCGAGCGUUGUCCGGAUUUAUUGGGCGUAAAGAGCUCGUAGGUGGCUCAGUAAGUCGGGUGUGAAAUUUCGAGGCUACAACCUCGGAAACGCCACCUGAUACUGCUGUGGCUAGAGUCCGGUAGGGGAGCGUGGAAGUUCCUGGUGUAGCGGUGAAAUGCGCAGAUAUCAGGAGGAACACCAGCGGCGAAGGCGGCGCCUCGUGGGCCGGAUGACUG